GGGCCCGCACAAGCGGUGGAGCAUGUGGUUUAAUUCGAUGAUACGCGAGGAACCUUACCAGGGCUUAAAUGCAGAACGACCGGCGUGGAAACAUGCCUUUCUUCGGACGGACUGCAAGGUGCUGCAUGGUCGUCGUCAGCUCGUGCCGUGAGGUGUCGGGUUAAGUCCCAUAACGAGCGCAACCCCUAUCUUUAGUUGCCAGCGGAUAAUGCCGGGGACUCUAGAGAAACUGCCAGCGUAAGCUGUGAGGAAGGUGGGGAUGACGUCAGAUCAUCACGGCCCUUACGUCCUGGGCUACACACGUGCUACAAUGGCAAGGACAAUGAGCUGCCAACCCGCGAGGGUGAGCAAAUCUUCAAACCUUGUCUCAGUUCGGAUCGGAGUCUGCAACUCGACUCCGUGAAGUUGGAAUCGCUAGUAAUCGCGUAU
rnacentral:rRNA from 1 species